AACGAACGCUGGCGGCAGGCCUAACACAUGCAAGUCGAGCGCACCUUCGGGUGAGCGGCGGGCGGGUUAGUAACGCGUGGGAAUAUACCCAAAGGUACGGAAUAGCCUCUGGAAACGGAGAGUAAUACCGUAUGUGCCCUUCGGGGGAAAGAUUUAUCGCCUUUGGAUUAGCCCGCGUUGGAUUAGGUGGUUGGUGGGGUAAUGGCCUACCAAGCCUACGAUCCAUAGCUGGUUUGAGAGGAUGAUCAGCAACACUGGGACUGAGACACGGCCCAG
rnacentral:rRNA from 1 species